ACAGUACUCCCAGCUAUAGCAAGCGGCAGUUAUGGAGCAUGCGCAGCAGCAGGGGCGGCCGCAGGUCGCCGUUCAAUAAUACGUAAUGUAUAGACUUUUGAGUAUACGAAGCUCCCUGUUUCUCUAGGUUCACCUGAGAUUUAUCUGGUCUUUCAGGGCUUAAAAGGGAGACAUUCCCAAAGAAGAUUCCGUGGGAAGUCUCCUACAAGCCCCGAAGGAAGGGAAUCUCUCUCCUCAUACCUUGAGUUUCCUGAGUACAAUUAUUAUAGAUAUACGAAGAUCUCUGUGCUCAUGGAGAAUUUGUGGUUAGAUAUGAAGCUAAUUCAUCUCUGUUUGGGAACAGGGUACAUGAUCUAGGACAGGAAAAAAACGGGGCGAGGCAGUACGCUUUACUUGGUGUUUUGCUAUUUGGAGGUUUUCAAAAACUAAACAGUGUAGGAAAGUCAUGUGUGUCCAGCAACUAUCUGUGGCCAGUUGAGUAGGAAUAAGAUUUGGCGAAAUGUAUGCUCAGGCCUGUACUCCCAGCACUGUGGGAGGCCGAGGCGGAGGAUCACUUGAGUCCAGCAGUUUGAAACCAGCCUGGGCAACAUAGGGAGGCCUUGUCUCUACUAAAUUUUUUUUUUUAAUUAGCCGGGCGUGGUGGUGCAUGCCUAUAGUCCAAGCUACUGGGAGGGCUGAGAUGGGAGAUUGGAUCGCUUGAGCCCAGGAGUUGUAUGCUGCAAUGAGUUGUGAUCCCACCACUGCACUCCAGCCUGGGCAACAGAAGCAGACCCUGUCUCAAAAAAUAAACCAAAAACAAACAAAACAGGGAAAUGUGUGCGAGCGAGGAUGAGAUCCAAGUACUUGUGAGACAAAGCACUGUAAAGAGAAUAAUUAAUGAAAAUUACAAAAAACUACAGCCAACAUUUGUUGAGGGUUUACUAUAGGCCAGAAAUCUAAGCACUUUAUAUAUAAUUGUUCGGAGUUUAUAUAUGUGUAUUUAAGCACACAUACUGUUUUCUUUGGUCUACAUAUGCAAAUAAUAACAAAUGGCUUGGAGUAGGAACAUAAAUGAGCAAAUGAUAAAAUAUGAUUUAUAUAUAUGUAUAGACUUGGUGACUUAGUAUGCUAACCUACUCUGGUCUAAAUUGUUGCAUUCCAUCUGACAUCAAAAUAUUGUUAUCAAUCAAAAAUUAUUCAAUUAAUUACUAAGGAAAUCUGCCGCUUUCUAAAAUAACUGGUUAAAAACAAGUAGAGGUUAGUUAUACAAUAAUUAGUAUAUAAUGACAUUUAGGCAACCUGACGUCACUCUGUUUUGCCAAUUGCAAACAUGUUACUUUCCAUUGUUAGAUAGAGGAUUGCUGAAAUGUUAUCUAAAAGUCCAAACAUGUACAUGAAUUGCAAAUGCAGCUUUUGAUUUGUGGUCUUGUUUUUAGCUUGACCUUAUAAUGAAAUCUAUUUUUAUUUUUAAGUUUAUUUUUUUAAGACAAGAUCUUGCUUUGUCACCCAGGCUGGAGUGCAGUGGCACAAUCUCGGCUCACUGCAAUCUCUGCCCCCCAGAUUCAAGCGAUUCACUUGCCUCAGCC
rnacentral:lncRNA from 10 species